rnacentral:rRNA from 1 species
AGCCACAGCCAUGUCACCCUGCAGCCCAAGACUGGUUACUUGCUGAAGCUAAGCAGGGCUGAGCCUGGUCAGUGCCUGGAUGGGAGACCACAUGACAAAACUAAAAAUCCAAUGGCAC